rnacentral:rRNA from 1 species
UAGUGGCGAACGGGUGAGUAACACGUGGGCAAUCUGCCCUUCACUCUGGGACAAGCCCUGGAAACGGGGUCUAAUACCGGAUAACACUUUCACGGGCAUCUGUGAGGGUUAAAAGCUCCGGCGGUGAAGGAUGAGCCCGCGGCCUAUCAGCUUGUUGGUGAGGUAAUGGCUCACCAAGGCGACGACGGGUAGCCGGCCUGAGAGGGCGACCGGCCACACUGGGACUGAGACACGGCCCAGACUCCUACGGGAGGCAGCAGUGGGGAAUAUUGCACAAUGGGCGAAAGCCUGAUGCAGCGACGCCGCGUGAGGGAUGACGGCCUUCGGGUUGUAAACCUCUUUCAGCAGGGAAGAAGCGAAAGUGACGGUACCUGCAGAAGAAGCGCCGGCUAACUACGUGCCAGCAGCCGCGGUAAUACGUAGGGCGCAAGCGUUGUCCGGAAUUAUUGGGCGUAAAGAGCUCGUAGGCGGCUUGUCACGUCGAUUGUGAAAGCCCGAGGCUUAACCUCGGGUCUGCAGUCGAUACGGGNCUAGCUAGAGUGUGGUAGGGGNAGAUCGGAAUUNCU